CCUACGGGAGGCAGCAGUGGGGAAUAUUGGGCAAUGGGCGCAAGCCUGACCCAGCAACGCCGCGUGAAGGAAGAAGGCUUUCGGGUUGUAAACUUCUUUUGUCAGGGAAGAGUAGAAGACGGUACCUGACGAAUAAGCCACGGCUAACUACGUGCCAGCAGCCGCGGUAAUACGUAGGUGGCAAGCGUUGUCCGGAUUUACUGGGUGUAAAGGGCGUGUAGCCGGGUUGACAUGUCAGAUGUGAAAUCCUGCGGCUUAACCGCAGAACUGCAUUUGAAACUGUUGAUCUUGAGUACUGGAGAGGCAGACGGAAUUCCUAGUGUAGCGGUGAAAUGCGUAGAUAAUAGGAGGAACACCAGUGGCGAAGGCGGUCUGCUGGACAGCAACUGACGGUGAGGCGCGAAAGCGUGGGGAGCAAACAGGAUUAGAUACCCCAGUAGUC
rnacentral:rRNA from 1 species